CUGAGACUUGGGACUCAGAACCUUGCAGCUGAAGAUGACCUUGCAUGUAUGUUACGCCUGCAUGUGUGUCUAAGGCUGUACAGCCCAUGUUUUGUUGACAUUGUACUGUCCCUGGGGCCACCAAAAGGUGGGCCUCGUUUUGCAUCACGUCAGUCCUAAUGGGUCAAAACUGGUGGCGGAAGGUAACAGGAGAGUGGAAAGCCUGGGGGGCUUGGGAGGCUCCACGAGAUCACAGGAUCCAUGUGCACGCAUGUGUGUUGAUUUUGUGGGAAGCUUGAAGGGUCUGAAGGAAGCAGAGAAAUGGAAGGACUCGAACUUCUGACCUCAAAUGAUCCACUUGCCUCGGCCUCCCAGUGUGCUGGGAUUACAGGCGUGAGUCCCUGUGCUCGACUGAAGGGAGGAAAUGUAAGCACGCUGAGGACCACUAUGUCUAAAUCAAACCCUCUCUGACCACCCAGAUUCUCUGGAGUAAAGAUCCAGCAUCUCAGGAGGCAGCAAUAAAUAGUGGUAAGGAGUGCAGGUUCUGAAGUUACAUUGUGCAAUAUUGGGCAAGUUAUUUAUUCUGUGCCUUGAUUUCUUUUCAAAUAUAAAAUGGGAACAUUAAUUUUGCUUAAUUUCCCAGAGUGUUGGUGAGGACUGAAAAUAUAUGUGUGUCUACACACACACACACACACACACACACACACACACACACAAAAUUAAUGCUCAGUAAAAAAUAAUAACAAAUUUACAUAUUCAACAUAUGUUCCAUAUCAUUAUUUCUCCUUUGACAAUAUCAGAUUACUACUAGGGUCACCACAUAACUUAAUACCCAAACUGAAACAGUUUUGGGAGUGAAAGAGAGGCUAUAAUUACACUGGGAGCAGACUCCUAAGGCAACAGGGAGAUGGGGUCACCCUUGAGAGGGCCCAUAUUUUACAUGUUGGGGUAUGGUGGACAGCAUUGGGUUAUCAGAAAACCACAAAAGGCUUUUAUGUAGACAACUACUAAGAACUUUUUGAAACAACUCACUGGAAAAAAAAAAAAAAAGGAAAAUGUACUUGCGUAAAUUUGGCUAUUCAAGUUCUGCUUUGAGGUAAUGGUAAAUCUCCCAAACCAAAUGGUAAGGAAGUUCCCAUUUGCCUGUAUGGUUCACUCCUUUCUGUUUGAAUAUUAAACCAUCAUAACCUUACUACCUAUUGCUAGGGGCUCAAUGUUUAUGUCCCUCCAGAAUUCCUAUGUUGAAAACUCCCAAGUUGAUGGUAGUAGGAGGUGGGGCCUUUGGGGGUGAUUAAGUAAUGAGGAUGGAGCCCUCAUGAAUGGGAUUAGUGUCCUUAUGAAAGAGACCCCCAAGAACUGUCUUGCCCCUUCCACCAAGUGAGGGCAUAGUGGGAAGGUGUUAUCUAUGAACCAGAAAGUGAGCCCUCUUCAGAUGUCAAAUCUGCAAGAGCCUUGACUUUGGACUUCCCAGCUCCCAGAACUGUAAGAAAUAAAUUUCUGUGGUUUCUAAGCCACCAGAUUAUGGCAUUUUGUUAUAGCUGUCUAAGCAGACUGAGACAUCGAUUCACAAGCAGCACGGGCAAAGGCUGGAGGGUUAGCGAAUGUGCAGCCCUCUAGAGCAGGAGCUGGGGCUGAGGAGGAGAAGCAGGUAGGUGCCCUGGGUCACCCUCAGAGCACUCCUGCCCCCCGCCACCACCUGCAGGCUCCUCAGGGAUGCUCUUCCUCCAGUCAUGGGCCCUUCAGACAAGAAACGUGUUGCCGCCAUCCUUCCACCCACCAUUUCUCUUCAAGAAGUGCCCAGAGAGCUCCCAAGUGUUGAAAGGCAAGCAUCCUGUGGAGGUAUCCUCUGGACCCCUG
ensembl:lncRNA